CGACAACAACAGCUCGUGCUGUCGGACUUUUUCAUGAGGUUUCACUUCCCUCAUUGGACUGACUGAAGACAGGCUUGAAUGGAUUCUUGACCUGUUUACGCGCUGGGGAUAUAACCACUUACACUUCGCGUGUCUAUAAAUGUCAUCAAAAUAAUAACAGGACACGGAACAGAUUAGAGUAAUAAACCCUCUAGAAACUCAAACCAAGUUAGUUUUUUUCCUCGAGACGCCUCAUUAGCCAUUUUUUUUCAACCGAGGAGCGCAACAUGAGGAUUUUACUGGGAGUGUUUAUGGUGCUAAUUGUCUCAGGUGAUGACGAGACUAUCACAGGAGUCUUAGACGACAGUGUCCUCCUGCCGUGCACCUGCCCAGAGAGAAAUUUGGACAAGGAGUUUAAGUGGCAGAUGGAAGAACCAAACAUGAUGCUGGUGCUUAAACACAACUCGCCCGCCUCAGUCUUCUAUGGCAGAUACAGAGGCAGGGCCAGAGUAUUGCUGGAUGAGAGCAGCAGAAACUGCUCUCUCCUCCUAACCAACAUCACAGCUGAUGACGUGGGGAAAUACAGAUGUGUUUUUUACAGUCAAGGGAAAUACAAGAAAUUCUUUGUAAAUCUAAACAUCUCUGCCAGCUACAAUGUCUGUCAAAAGCCGUCCGCCAACAACCCGAAUGGUGAUUUAAGUGUGAAGGGUUUCCAGUGUGACGCAGAAGGACGCUACGGGGAGGCUGAGCUUCAGUGGAAUUUGGAUGGACAGCUUCUGACAAAUUCACCCACAACGCACAUAACCCACAGCAAAACCCUGAACGCUUCUACCGGCCUCUACCAUCUCACCAGCAGGCUCGUCACUCAACUCAACGGAACCUCAGAACCUAAAUGUGAUGUCAAGGCCAAAGAUGUAUCAACCAUCAUUAGCAAUGACUGCGGGGCAGAGAGCAGAGAGCGGUCAUGUUUUUGAAACUUUCUUAAAUUUCAGCAGGAUUUUUAAAAAAUCCAGUCAUCCACCAACCAGAAGACUUCUUUAGAUCCCGGUACCUGAUAAUCAUUCCCAUUAUGAUGGUGCUUGGAGUUACCCUGCUCUUACGAUGUCGCUGGGAAUCCUCGUGGAGUUUACCAAAGAGAAAAGAAGUGAAGACGGGCAACAUUUAAACACACAAUAUGAUCUGCAACAACAAUGUGAAUAUGUGAAAGCAUUUUCCACCAAAAGGUGGUAUGUCAUGACUAUGGCCUCAUGCCACCACAGAGACUGUUUACAGGCAGGUUACAUCCUGUUUCCAUUCCACUCAUGGAAUUCUUUGUUUCAGCAAAGGGUGUCCAUUUUCAUAGUUUUUAUGGAUGUUUUCUGGCAGAUGUGUAUACUCUUUCGAGUUUCCUUCAAAGUCAAGGACUGUACAAAGAGAUCGUCCACUAUGAUGUGAAGAUGAAGUCAUAAAUUUAGAUGCAGUCAGUAAUAAACAAAGCACAAAAACCACAGAAAUCCCCACACAACAUAAAUAAAGCGCUGGAUGUGUUCACUGUUGCAGAUACUGUGGAAUUCAGUCAGAAUAACCACUCUUUGGAAAAAUUGUCUUGUUGAUAGGAUUAAUUGUCGACAAGGCAAUAAAGUUAAACCAUAAAAAUACAAACUACUUUUCAGCCUUUAUGUUCUUAACGUCCUUCAUUUCAUUCAGAAACACAGCAAAAAACUGAGACAGUUACUGAUUGCUUGUUGAUACCGUGGUUGUUCUGUAGAGAUACUGUAAGUGCCAUGAUUUAAAUAUGAGAAAAGAAAGUUAUUAAUGCAGAGAUAUUUGCCAUAGCCACUUUAGACAACUUGGUCUGAUAACACUUUGCAACAAUUACGAUAAUAUUCUGCUUAUGCACCACACAUUUUAUACAAAAAUGAUCAUUAUUUUUUUUUAUUAGCGUAGAGGUGAUAUUUACACAGCGUGAUACAUGUGCUAUGCAUUGUUCAUUUCCAUGUAAAUACAAUGUAAUGCAGACAUUAAUAGAAGGCGUAUAACAUGUAUGUGCCUAAGGCUGACUAUUUGCUGUGAAUGCUUGACAAAGUCCUUGGACAAGCUUCUUCUUUUCUCAUAUUUUGGUGUGGUAAAAUCUAACCUGUUCUUCUGUAACUCCUUUUCUACUGCACUCGUUACACUGAAUGUUGUUGCUUUGUUUCACUUUUGUAAAUUAACAGGUUAUGGUCAUUAUAUGUAUUACAUCACGGUUUAGAGGGAACCCUGCAACAGUUUUGUAAAAUUCAUGUAUAAAUGCUAAAAAAAAAUGUAUAGAUGCUAAAAGGUCAUAUGCCUGACUUUUGGUGUCAUGCCAAUGCCUGCAAAUGAAACUUAAAAAAAACAAAAAAACAUUUAUAUCUUUUCACAUUUGAAAAAUGUUCUUGAACUGGGACUAAGUGAACUGGGGAAACAUGCUGCUGGUUCGGAUGGCCAGUCCACCAUUGGUCCUUUAUUCUGGUUUUAGUCAGCAGCUUUGUUUCUGUAGCAGCAAACAACAAAGCACACCCCAACUCUUAGGCAAGCUGGAAAACAAUGAAUAAAUAUGUGACAGCAUGAAGAGGUGGACUUUUUCAAGGUCAACAAAAGGUUCAAAUGAAAUCUACCCUGAAAUGCAUUUCUAAGGAGAGAAAAAAACGAAUAACCCUUUAAUCCACAUUACAAUCCUUGUGUGUUUUUGUAUGACACUGUUAUGUUUUCGAGUUCAUAAUUCCUCAUGGUGUUUUUUAUCCUGCCAUCAUUGUCACUUGUGUUUUCUUUUUGUAGAUUGUUUUGAUAUGUGCUGAACAACAAAACACUGUAAAAAGGUUAGGUUGCACAACAUAUUCUUGGCCACAGGACAUCACUUUUACUGAACAGGUUUCCUACAUGUUGAGACUGGUUAAUGGAUCUUGAUCUAAGAGCAAAUUCAGACUUAUUUUUGUGUAGCUGGAAGAAAUGUGGCAAUACAGUAUGUGUGUGAGUGUAUGAGAGGUUACAAGAGCAUCGAAAUUGUUAAUUGUGGUCCUCUGCAUCAUCUACCUGAAAUCAGCUAAGGCAUUUCACAGUACAAUUUUAUGUUUGUCAAUAUUUUCCAGAUCACUUUAUGAUCCCUAAUGCAGCAAAUCAAUAAAGUUUGACAAAAAAAG